CCUACGGGGGGCUGCAGUGGGGAAUAUUGGACAAUGGGGGGAACCCUGAUCCAGCCAUGCUGCGUGUGUGAAGAAGGCCCUCGGGUUGUAAAGCACUUUCAGUGAGGAAGAACGCCUGGUGGUUAAUACCCAUCAGGAAAGACAUCACUCACAGAAGAAGCACCGGCUAACUCCGUGCCAGCAGCCGCGGUAAUACGGAGGGUGCGAGCGUUAAUCGGAAUUACUGGGCGUAAAGCGCGCGUAGGUGGCUUGAUAAGCCGGUUGUGAAAGCCCCGGGCUCAACCUGGGAACGGCAUCCGGAACUGUCAAGCUAGAGUGCAGGAGAGGAAGGUAGAAUUCCCGGUGUAGCGGUGAAAUGCGUAGAGAUCGGGAGGAAUACCAGUGGCGAAGGCGGCCUUCUGGACUGACACUGACACUGAGGUGCGAAAGCGUGGGUAGCAAACAGGAUUAGAUACCCUUGUAGUC
rnacentral:rRNA from 1 species